rnacentral:tRNA from 1 species
GCAUCGGUGGUUCAGUGGUAGAACGCUCGCCAGUUACGCAUGUGAUUCGGGUUUCGAUCCCCGGCCGAAGCA